GCUGUCCUUAGUACGAGAGGACCGGGAUGGACAUACCUCUGGUGUACCAGUUGUCGUGCCAACGGCAUAGCUGGGUAGCUAUGUAUGGACGGGAUAAGUGCUGAAAGCAUCUAAGCAUGAAGCCCCCCUCAAGAUGAGAUUUCCCAACUUCGGUUAUAAGAUCUCUCGAAGAUGACGAGGUUAAUAGGUUCGAGGUGGAAGCGUGGUGACACGUGGAGCUGACGAAUACUAAUCGAUCGAAGACUUAAUCAAUUUUUAAA
rnacentral:rRNA from 1 species